GACCUCUUCAGUGGCUUAGUGGUUAGAACAUCCGCUUCGGAUGCAGGAGGUCAUGGGUUUGAAACCUGGCAGAGUCA